UUAUAGAGAACCUACGUGAUCAUUUUGAAUGUAAACUCUGUACUUUUGAAAUUAGUUCAACGCUACAAAAAUUGCUACAAAAGUUGCACAUCAGACCUUUCCAAUUCUAUAAACAAAACAAUCACAACUUUUAAGAUAUCAGAAUACUUUAUAAAAGCAUUGAACACCCUUUGGAAACCCCCAGAUGGCGUGAGUGUUGGUGACAACCUAUAGAGGAAUGGAGACAGAGGAGGCCGGAAUGACAGCACGAGGAAGAGAGUGAGCCAGGUAACAGCAAAACCUUAUCAAAGCUGCAACUUUGUGCUGCAUUCUUGUGCGUGGGAACAUGUCUGUCAAGGAGCAUCUACCCGAGUGCUCUGAAGCAAUGGACCAAGGAAUGCAUAAACGUAGCAGUGAAUUCAAAAGCAGAAGCAGUAAAUACGCAGAGUGCCGACUAGCAUGGUGAUCUGGAUGGGAAUUAGAAAGACUGUCAGCUGGAGAGGAACAGCCACGAACUCAUUGACGUCAAGAGAACCAUCCAGCCCCUGUGAGUCAGCUUGGAGGAACAACUACAUACAGGAGGACAAGAAGCACCACUACCAAAGCGGAGGUUCUAACCCCCCACACGUUGCCAGUGAAGGGAGCGGGGGAGGGAAGCAGUAGACGGAGGGGCAGUAGGAGCGGCAUGCUGAGAGGACCCCCGUCAGGAGGGCGACAUGCAAGUCUAUCGAGAGUACUGGAGAGAGAAAGUCCCUGCUGGCAUCGCUGCAAACUCCUCUGGUGCCACCGCCGCUGCCACCGCCGCCGCCGCCUCUGCCUCCGCCUCCGCCGCCGCCGCCGCCGCCGCCG